UACGGAGGGAGCUAGCGUUGUUCGGAAUUACUGGGCGUAAAGGGCGCGUAGGCGGCCGCUUGCGUCGGAUGUGAAAGCCCGGGGCUCAACCCCGGAACGGCAUCCGAUACGGGGCGGCUGGAGACCGGGAGAGGAGGGUGGAAUAGCCAGUGUAGAGGUGAAAUUCGUAGAUAUUGGCUGGAACACCGGUGGCGAAAGCGGCUCUCUGGCCCGGUUCUGACGCUGAGGCGCGAAAGCGUGGGGAGCAAACAGG
rnacentral:rRNA from 1 species